rnacentral:rRNA from 1 species
UGGGGAAUAUUGGACAAUGGAGGAAACUCUGAUCCAGCAAUUCUGUGUGUGUGAAGAAGGUUUUAGGACUGUAAAACACUUUAGUAGGGAAGAAAAAAAUGACGGUACCUACAGAAGAAGCAACGGCUAAAUACGUGCCAGCAGCCGCGGUAAUACGUAUGUUGCGAGCGUUAUCCGGAAUUAUUGGGCUUAAAGGGCAUCUAGGCGGUAAGACAAGUUGAAGGUGAAAACCUGUGGCUCAACCAUAGGCUUGCCUACAAAACUGUUGAACUAGAGUACUGGAAAGGUGGGUGGAACUACACGAGUAGAGGUGAAAUUCGUAGAUAUGUGUAGGAAUGCCGAUGAUGAAGAUAACUCACUGGACAGAAACUGACGCUGAAGUGCGAAAGCUAGGGGAGCAAACAGG